UGAUCCUGGCUCAGGAUGAACGCUGGCGGCGUGCUUAACACAUGCAAGUCGAACGGUGAACACGGAGCUUGCUCUGUGGGAUCAGUGGCGAACGGGUGAGUAACACGUGAGCAACCUGCCCCUGACUCUGGGAUAAGCGCUGGAAACGGCGUCUAAUACUGGAUAUGUGACGUGACCGCAUGGUCUGCGUCUGGAAAGAAUUUCGGUUGGGGAUGGGCUCGCGGCCUAUCAGCUUGUUGGUGAGGUAAUGGCUCACCAAGGCGUCGACGGGUAGCCGGCCUGAGAGGGUGACCGGCCACACUGGGACUGAGACACGGCCCAGACUCCUACGGGAGGCAGCAGUGGGGAAUAUUGCACAAUGGGCGCAAGCCUGAUGCAGCAACGCCGCGUGAGGGACGACGGCCUUCGGGUUGUAAACCUCUUUUAGCAGGGAAGAAGCGAAAGUGACGGUACCUGCAGAAAAAGCGCCGGCUAA
rnacentral:rRNA from 1 species